ACCUCGGUAGUGCAGUAGUUAGCACACGCUCCUGGAAUGUAUGAAAUGCGGGUUCAAUUCCCGUCCGAUAUU